rnacentral:rRNA from 1 species
GGGACUGUGGCUAAGACUGGAUAGGAAGAUAAAAGGCAUCUUUUAUCUUUUAAAAGACCUAGUAAUAGGUAUGCUUUAGGAGGGGCUUGCGCCAUAUUAGUUAGUUGGUAGGGUAAUGGCCUACCAAGACGAUGAUGUGUAGCUGGACUGAGAGGUUGAACAGCCACAUUGGGACUGAGACACGGCCCAAACUCCUACGGGAGGCAGCAGUAGGGAAUUUUCGGCAAUGGAGGAAACUCUGACCGAGCAACGCCGCGUGAAUGACGAAGUACUUGCGGUAUGUAAAGUUCUUUUAUCAAGGAAGAAAAGCAAAUGGCGAACCAUUUGUUUGCCCGGUACUUGAUGAAUAAGCCCCGGCUAAUUAUGUGCCAGCAGCCGCGGUAAGACAUAAGGGGCAAGUGUUAUCCGGAAUUAUUGGGCGUAAAGGGUGCGUAGGCGGUCUAGUAAGUCAGUGGUGUAAUGGCAACGCUUAACGUUGUCCGGCUAUUGAAACUGCUAAACUUGAGUUAGAUAGAGGCGAGUGGAAUUCCAUGUGUAGCGGUAAAAUGCGUAAAUAUAUGGAGGAACACCAGAGGCGUAGGCGGCUCGCUGGGUCUUAACUGACGCUGAGGCACGAAAGCGUGGGGAGCAAACAGGAUUAGAUACCCUGGUAGUCCACGCCGUAAACGAUGAGUACUAAGUGUCGGGUUAAACCGGUACUGAAGUUAACACAUUAAGUACUCCGCCUGAGUAGUACGUACGCAAGUAUGAAACUUAAAGGAAUUGACGGGACUCCGCACAAGCGGUGGAUCAUGUUGUUUAAUUCGAAGAUACCCGAAAAACCUUACCAGGUCUUGACAUGUUUUUGCAAAAUGAUAGUAAUAUCGUGGAGGUUACCAGAAACACAGGUGGUGCAUGGUUGUCGUCAGCUCGUGUCGUGAGAUGUUAGGUUAAGUCCUAAAACGAGCGAAACCCUUAUCGUUAGUUGCCAGCACGUUAUGGUGGGGACUUUAACGAGACUGCCAAUGAUAAAUUGGAGGAAGGUGAGGAUCACGUCAAAUCAGCAUGCCCCUUAUGACCUGGGCUACAAACGUGAUACAAUGGCUGUUACAAAGGGUAGCUGAAACGCAAGUUCUUGGCCAAUCCCCAAAAACAGUCCCAGUCCGGAUUGAAGUCUGCAACUCGACUUCAUGAAGUUGGAAUCGCUAGUAAUCGCGAAUCAGCAUGUCGCGGUGAAUACGUUCUCGGGGUUUGUCC